GGCUUGUAGCUCAGGUGGUUAGAGCGCACCCCUGAUAAGGGUGAGGUCGGUGGUUCAAGUCCACUCAGGCCUAC
rnacentral:tRNA from 1 species